rnacentral:misc_RNA from 1 species
UCAAACUUGGUCAUUUAGAGGAAGUAAAAGUCGUAACAAGGUUUCCGUAGGUGAACCUGCGGAAGGAUCAUUAACACGUCCACACGUAUUAACCCUCGUGAAUCUGUUUCCGCUGGUCCUGAGUUGCUUGGAACUUGACGAAUGCUAUUUACGGUUGGGAAAGAGUGAGAGGCUCAAAGGUUCGCCCUGAGUUCUUUCUGCUCUUUCUAAUAGCGAUCGUCGAUCUUUAUGGGUUCCUAGUGCUCACUCUCAAAGGACCGCUUUAAUCAUGCUCCACCGUCAUGUUCCCUUUUUGAACCCCUUGUACAAUUCUGUACUGAAUCUUUCUUCUUUUGUGUUGUUGUCUUUGAGCUGCGGUUCAAAGAAACGCACGAAGAAAAAAUUACGAAACAAAGAACAACUCUUAGCAACGGAUAUCUUGGUUUCCGCAUCGAUGAAGAACGCAGC